rnacentral:lncRNA from 1 species
UAUGGAGUAUAAUUAAUGGGUUGCAAAGGUUGAGAAAGUUGGUGAAGAAUUUAAAGUUUUCGUCAGAGCUUGUUAUCUUGGAAGCUAUAGUGAAAGAGAUGGUGAACAGUGGAAAGCGAUGGAGAUUGAGCAUAUGUUUAUACUCUCCACACAAAAGCUCUGUUUUCUAAUAAUUCCAUGUUUUUUUAAUAUUUUUUAUUGUGAGUAACUUGUUUUUCCUCAACUUAUGUUUAUACUCUUCACGAUAUAUUCAUCCAUGAACUACCCAGCAUACUAUCCACGAAAAAUCCAUCCACGAUACACUAUUCACGAG